UACGUAGGGUGCAAGCGUUGUCCAGAAUUAUUGGGCGUAAAGAGCUCGUAGGCGGUUCGUCGCGUCGGCUGUGAAAUCCCGAGGCUCAACCUCGGGCCUGCAGUCGAUACGGGCGGACUUGAGUGUUGCAGGGGAGACUGGAAUUCCUGGUGUAGCGGUGAAAUGCGCAGAUAUCAGGAGGAACACCGGUGGCGAAGGCGGGUCUCUGGGCAACUACUGACGCUGAGGAGCGAAAGCGUGGGGAGCGAACAGG
rnacentral:rRNA from 1 species